rnacentral:rRNA from 1 species
AACGCGAAGAACCUUACCUACUCUUGACAUCCUGCGAACUUGGUAGAGAUACCUUGGUGCCUUCGGGAACGCAGAGACAGGUGCUGCAUGGCUGUCGUCAGCUCGUGUUGUGAAAUGUUGGGUUAAGUCCCGUAACGAGCGCAACCCUUGUCCUUAGUUGCCAUCAUUUAGUUGGGGACUCUAAGGAGACUGCCGGUGACAAACCGGAGGAAGGUGGGGACGACGUCAAGUCAUCAUGGCCCUUACGAGUAGGGCUACACACGUGCUACAAUGGCGUAUACAGAGGGCAGCGAACUCGCGAGGGUAAGCAAAUCCCAAAAAGUACGUCGUAGUCCGGAUUGGAGUCUGCAACUCGACUCCAUGAAGUCGGAAUCGCUAGUAAUCGUGAAUCAGAAUGUCACGGUGAAUACGUUCCCGGGUCUUGUACACACCG